GAAAGAAGACUGAAGAAGAGAGGAACUAGGAAGGGGAGUAGGAGGAAAGGCCUUGUACACGAAGAGACCUCCAUAACUGAUUUGGACAUGGAUAUUGAAACGGUACCGAGCUUUCAUUAAAUAUAGAGUAGCCCUUUCAAUUUGAGGACACGGUUUUGGUGAGUCAACUAACUCACCUAUUAUCAUGCACUUCCUUGUUAAUUUAACAACAUCGUGUUAAAAUUUGGUUUUUUUUUUUUUUGGGUGAGUAUCAUGUCAAAAAAUGCUACAUCCAUUAAAAGUUACAUUGGAAAGGAAUUCAAAAAAUAACAUUUAUAUUUUUUUGAA